CUCUACCCGCCUCUGCUGGAAAACAGGCCGCAGAAUAUAGGUGUUCUCGGGCUCCCCUGCGUUCUUCUCAGCCUCAGGCACCCCGUCGCCCACCGAGAAGGACACUCCGAUGGACGUGGCCAUGCCGGGGCUUCUCGGUCCGGGCGUAGCUCGCGAUGAAGGCCUAGCGGGUUGCGGUCGCGGCCGGCAGCAGGGAAAGCGUCUCCAGGGCAACAGGGCCGCCCUCCCGCCUCGCUGAAGCCCGCGAGCGCCCCGCACAGCCGCCCUCCCUGCCCGCGCCUGCGCACCGGCUGCUGGGCGGGAACUGGUCGCGUCCGGACGCGCGACAGCUUCCACCCGCCUCAGGCAGUAUCAGCCGCGCCGCAGUCGGAGGAAAUAGACGCGGGGCCUGAGGCUCCUGGACUUGAGAAAGGAUUCAAGACAGCCGAUGAUGAAAACACCCAUGCUUGCAAGUGAAGGUUCUGCCUGUCACUUCUCGCAGAGGCUGCAGAAAAGGCCCAGGAGGCUGUUGAUGACAUGAACGACCACCAGGAGAAGCUGGAGCAGGCUGAUGCACAGAAGGGCGGAGAAGAGGGACACGUGCCAGACAACAGCUGCAGAGGGCUCCAGGCAGACGGAGUUCCAGAGCGAACGGUCAUACAGAUAAUUCCUAUCCCAAAAAAUAAGGAGACCAGGGGUCAGGCGAUAAGUAAGGAAAGCCAAACAGGCAACCCCAGUAGAAAACUGGGGUCUCCCCUGACCGGGUCAUGGGACUGGGCUCAUGAGGGUGACCGUUACUGCUCCAUUUGCAAUUUUCUGAGUAUCAGAGGAGCAAGAUGCUAGGAUGUGUGACCCAAAGGAGCUUGUAGUUCGUCUGUGUGUCUUUUUGUCUCUCUCUCUCUCUCUGUCUGAAAAGACCAAGCCCAAGCCUCCACCCAUUUACCUACUAUGCAGGUCUUUGAAUGGGUAACCAUAUUUCCAAGCUUGUGUCUGAUUGAAGGAUGAAACAUCAAACAUGCAAAAAGGACCAUCUUUCAGAGCAACUCCAGAAGUGACAAAGCAAAUCAGGGCUCCAAGUAAAGCCAGGCCACCUGACAACAGAGCACCAUUCAGCCUCUGAGCUAAAGAAGAAGCUACCACAGGCCCACCACUGACUCUUCUAAGGAAAAGCUGCAUUUUCAAAAGUUCCAGGUUCCCAACUCUGAUUCUUCUCUAUUUCAAAUCAAGGAUAAAAAAAAGGAAGGGAGGGAAGGAAGGAAAGAAAGAAGCAGGAAAGAAGGGAAGGAGAGAAGUGGGAGGGAGGGAAAGAAGGGAGAGAAACAGCGAGAGAGAAGCUGCAGCCAAGCUCUGAAAUGACUCCACUUCUGUCGCUGUGUUUCUCCAGCUGAGAGCUUUCUUGGCCAUCAGUCUGUGCUCCCACUGCCCUCCCAGAAAAUAACUGGGUUUCCUUCCUUGACAGGUUUCUAGCCUGCUUCUACAUUGGCUUCUUUCUCGUUCCUUCCUUCCUUCCCUUCCUUCCUUCUUUCUCUCUCUCUCUUUCUUUUUGAGACAGAGUCUCACUCUGUCGCCCAGGCUGGAGUGCAGUGGCACGAUCUCAGCUCACUGCAACCUCUGCCUCUGAGUUCAAGCGAUUCUCCUGCCUCAGCCUCCCAAGUAGCUGGGACUACAAGCAUGCGCCACCACACCCAGCUAAUUUUUGUAUUUUUAGUAGAAAUGGGGUUUCACUGUGUUGGUCAUGCCGGUCUCAAUCUCCUGACCUUGUGAUCCACCUGCUUCAGCCUCCCAAAGUGCUGGGAUUACAGGCAUGAGCCACCGUGCCCGGCCCAUAUUGGAUUCUUUCUUAGGGUUCUAGAUUUUUUUCUCCCUCCCCCAAAAAUGCCUAUUUUAAAAAUGUGAAUAACACCUACAUAGCGUUUUUCUGCAGAGUCAUGGAGUCAUUCUCCCACUGAGGUCAAGCUGGUUUGGAGUUGGGGAGGGAUCAGACAAAGGUGCAUAGUAAGUUUUGACUCUGAGUUAAAGGAGUCAAGAUGAAUCAGUAAGCCUAGGGCAGUGGUUCCCAAAAUGGGGUCCCUGCCCAGCCGCAUCACAUCACCUGAGAACCUGUUAGAAAUGCAAAACUUCCCCGCCAUCCUGAAUCAGAAACUCUGGGGAGGGAGCCCAGCAAUCCGUGUUCCGGCAAAAGCCCUCCAGGUGAUUCUCAUGCACAUUCAAGUGUCAGAACUACGUGCCACGGGGAAAACCAGAAUGAGAACAGACAGUGAAUGAAAUGUGCAAGUGUUUAUUUAUUUAUCUAUGUACUUAUUUAUUUAUUUAUUUUGAAACGGAGUCUCGCUCUGUCGCCCAGGCUGGAGUGCAGUGGCGCCAUCUCGGCUCACUGCAAGCUCCGCCUCCCGGGUUCAAGAGAUUUUCCUGCCUCAGCCUCCUGAGUUGCUGGGAUUACAGGCGCCCACCACCACGCCCAGCUAAUUUUUGUAUUUUUGGUAGAGACGGGGUUUCACCAUGUUGGCCAGGCUGGUCUCAAACUCCUGACCUCAGGUGAUCCGCCCAUCUUGGCCUCCCAAAGUGCUGGGAUUACAGGCGUGAGCCACCGCGCCUGGCCUAUAUUUGAUUUUUUAACAUGUAACUGAGUCAGUGGGCUUCCCAACAUGUGGGCUGCAGAUAUCAGAGCAGGCUGUGGAGUUACCAUAAGGCCACAGAUUCAUGUCUGAGAACGAGUGUGUGUGUGUGUGUGUGUGUGUGUUUGUUACACACACAUAUACUGAGAUCUUUCAAGUUUAUACAGUUGCUGCUGUAAUUAAUAAGGUAGAAAUUUAUUCUGGGCCUCAGUUUAUCUGUAAAAUGGAGGGGUUAGAUUAGAAUCUAGUGAUUAGAUGAUCUCUGGAAAACUUUCCUGUUCUAAGAAAAUAUUAGUUAAAAUAACUAGGAAAAUUUCCAUCAAUGACACAUGAUUACAGUGUCAUAACUCAUGUCCAUAUUGUCCAACACCCUAAGAGAGUAACAGUUUCUCACACUGGUACAGACGUCUGGGUCCUCACACUGGUACAGACGUCUGGGCUUCACUAAGCACUACUCCCUUGACUUGAUCAGCUCCCAUUUUACAGAUGAAAGCCUGAAACUGGAAAGAUGAAGCAACUUGCCCAAGAACUUAGCGUUACUGAGGGUCACAGUGAGGACCUGACUUCAGGCCCCAAGACCAAAAUUGCCUCUUUACCGCCCUGCCUCUAGAGUAAUAGAGGUGGAGACAUUCUGGGUGUUAGAAGAGUGGAAUCUGGUGCUUACGCUUCGACAGAGCCCACUCUUACUGAAGCAGCCGUAUCUCCAGCCCAUCAAGGAGAUGAGGAUAGCUGCAGUGAGUACCUGCAGGAGAGAGAAGAAUGUUGAGAUGGGGAAAUCGACUUUGCCGGCUGUUUCUAGGUGCUGCCCACAGCUGUUAGAGUGGCUGGCAGCUCACAUGAACGCAGUCCUGUUGACUCUGACUCUGGGGACCCACAUUUGUAUGACGAGCCUGAUCUAACGCUGUGGAUGUUAACUUUCACACCCGACCUGCCUGGUCCCAAGCUAGGCUUCCUGUCUCUUAGAGCUUCUACAGACCCAAGAUCAGCUUGUUAGAAUAAACUUUUCUGCAAGGAAUCAAAACACUCUUCCCAUGCCACCUUCCUGCUCCCCGCCGGGGUCUCUUUGAGAGUUCACGUUCAGGGAACCCCGGACACUUACCAUGAGGCCUCCUCCCCAGAGCCCAGUUCCCAGCAUGGCAUGCCUGCCAAGGAGGCCCCUCAACAGGUAGGUGACAUCCCAGUUAGGAAGGAGGAGUGCCACGUUGGCCCCAGCAGCAAACAGGGCUGCAGUCCCAAGGCUCAGUCCCAGGAUACGGGAGCAAGUCCGUGAGCUUGCCUGCGUGCAGGGAGAGGACACCAUCCUGGAACAGAUAGAAAGGGAGUCGCAGCAGCUCUGCUGUGGGGGGAUGGGGAAGGGAACUCCAGCAGCAUAUCAUGGGUGAGGGAAACAGACUACAGAAACCGCCACCUUCCAGGGUCAGACCAAUGAGAGCCAAGCAACCUGCUUAAAAACUCUGCUCCUUAGGAAUCUUCCCCAGUGACUAGGAUUUAAUUGUUUCCUUUUCUGCUAACCCCUGUUCACACAUACAUAGUUUGCAUUCCAUCAUAUUUUGUUUAUGCCUCUAUUACAGCCAGUGAUUAUUUCUGACAAAAAGAAAUGUUUAAAGGUGUCUUCAUGAUGUCCAUUGUCUCCACUUCUAUUCAACGUUGUACUGGUCCUGGCCAGUGCAAUACGAAAAUAAAAGGAAGCAAAAGCCACACAGAUAGGAAAGAAAGAAGUAAUAUUGUCGGCCAGGCAUGGUGGCUCAGGCCUGUAAUCCCAGCACUUUGGGAGGCUGAGGCAGGCGGAUCACGAGGUCAGGAGUUCAAGACCAGCCUGGCCAACAUGGUGAAACCCCGUCUCUACUAAAAAUACAAAAAUUAGCUGGGCACGGUGGUGGGUGCCUGUAAUCCCAGCUACUGGGGAGACUGAGGCAGGAGAAUUGCUUGAACCCGGGAGGCAGAGGUUGCAGUGAGCUGAGAUCAUGCCACUGCACUCCAGCCUGGGUGACACAGCAAGACUCCAUCUUAAAAAAAAAAAAAAGUAACAUUGUUAUUAUUCACAGAUAAUGUGAUCACAUUAUGUAGAAAAUCCUAAAGUUUAUUAGAAUUAACAGGUGAGUUUAGCAACGUCAUAGAAUAAAAGAUUAAUAUACAAAAAUUAUAUUGUAUUUCUAUAUACAAGCAAUGACAAAUUGAGGAUUGAAAUUAAAAUAUAUCAUUUACAAUAGCAUAAAAAUAUAAUACAUAUGGAUGAAUUUAACAAAAUAUUUGCAAGACCUAUAUAGUAAGAAUUGCAAAGCAUUGCUGAGAAAAUUAAUGGAGACCUAAAUAAAUGGAGACAUAUACCAUGUUCCUGAACCAGAAGACUCAAAAUAGUUAACAUGUUCUCCCUAAAUUGAUGCAAAGAUUUAAAGCAAUAUCAGUCAAAAUCCUAGGAGAGUUUUGUUAUAGAAAUUGACAAACUGAAUCUAAAUUUAUAUGGAAAUGCAAAGCAAUUGUGAAGAUUAGCCAAAGCAAUUCUGAAAAACAAACAAAGCUGGAGAACUUACGCCAUGUGAUUUCAAGACUUACAAAGCUACAGUAAUUGAAGACACUGAAGCCACGCGUAAGGAAACACAUAUGGACUACUGGAACAGGCUGGAGCUCAGAAACAGACCCGGUCCAGGAAAAAUGAUUUUUUUUUUUUCUUGAGACGGAGUCUCGCUCUGUUGCUCAGGCUGGAGUGCAGUGGCGCGAUCUCAGCUCACUGCAACCUCUGCCUCCCAGGUUCAAGCGAUUCUCCUGCCUCAGCCUCCCAAGUAGCUGGGAUUACAGGUGCCCGCCACCAUGCCCGGUAAUUUUUUGUAUUUUUAGUAGAGACGGGGUUUCACCGUGUUAGCCAGGACGGUCUUGAUCUCCUGACCUCGUGAUCCGCCUGUCUCGGGCUCCCAAAGUGCUGGGAUUACAGGCAUGAGCCACCGCGCCCGGCCAAUAAAUGAUUUUUUAAGAAGAUGACAAUUCAGCGGGAAAAAGUCUCUUCCACAAAUGGUGCCGGAACAAUGCACAUGCAAAACAAAACUGCCUUCACUAUUACUUCACAACAUAUUCAAAAAUUCACUUGAAAUGGAGCAUGGGUCUAAAAGCUUUAUAAAAUUUCUAGAAUAAAACAAAGGAGAAAAACACUGGGACCUUGGGUUAGAUAAAGGUUUCUUACUAAAAUGCAAAAAGUACAAUCCACAAAACAUGAUUAAUCAGACUGCUUAAAAAUUUAAAUGUCAGCUGGGUGCUUGCCUAUAAUCCCAGCUACUCGGAGGUUGAGGCAGGAAAAUCGCUUGAACCCAGGAGGCAGAGGCUGCAGUGAGCUGAGAUCGCGCCACUGCACUUCAGCCUGGGCGACAAGAGCAAGCGACUCCAUCUAAAAAAAAAAAAUCAUGCUAAAAGAAAUAAGCCAGACACUAAAGGACAAAUAUUGUAUGAUUCCACUUAUAUGAAAUAUUCAAAAUAACAACUUUAUAGAGAAAGAAAGUAGACUGGAGGUUAUCAGGGACUGUGGGGAGGGAGGAGAGAAUGGGGAGUUAUUGUUUAAUGGUUACAGAGGUUUUCAGGUUUUGUUUUGUGUUGUUUUGUUUUUUUUUUUUGAGACAGAGUCUUGCUCUGUCAGCCAGGCUGGAGUGCAGUGGCGCAAUCUCAGCUCACUGCAACCUCUGCCUCCUGGGCUCAAGCAAUUCUCCUGCCUCAGCCUCCCAAGUAGCUGGGACUACAGGCAUGUGCCACCACGCCUGGCUAAUUUUUGUAUUUUUAGUAGAGACAGGGUUUCACUAUGUUGGCCAGGCUGGUCUUGAACUCCUGACCUCAGGUGAUCUGCCCGCCUCGGCCUCCCACCGCGCGCGGUGGUUUUGGGGUUUUUUUAGAGAUGCAGUCUCACUAUGUUACCCCAGCUGGUCUUCAACUCCUGGACUCAAAUGAUCCUCCAGCCCGUGCCUCCAGAGUAGCUAUGACCAGAUCUGGGCCACUGCCCACGGUUUAAGGGUUACAGACUUUCUGUUUGGGGUGAAGAAAAGUUUUGGAAAUAGAUAAUGGUAAUGGUUGCACAUCAUUGCAAAUGUAAUUAAUGUCACUGAAUUAUACACUUUAAAAUGGUUAAAAUGACAAAUCUGAUGUUACUUUACCACAAUAAAAAAUCAAUUAAAAAAUUUGUGAUUACUCAAAUCCUUAUCAGUAAUCAAUAGGUGAAUCAAGACAAAUUGUGUUAUCCAUACAAAUGAGUUCUAUUAGGUAAUAAAAUGCGUAAAUUUCUGCUACAUAUAACAUGGAUGAAUCUCAAAAGCAUUGUGUUAAGUGGAAGAAGCCAGAAACAAAAGACUACUCACAUGUUUCUAUAUAUACGAAAUUCUAGAAAAGGCAAAACUUUUAACGGAGAGCAGAUGAGCGGUUGCCAUGGGCUGAGAAUGGGAAAGAGGAUUAGUAUGGGGCAUGGGAAGCUUUCUGAAGGGGUGGAAGCAUUCUGUGUCUAGAUUCUGGUGGUGAAUACAUAACUGUACAUAUUGACAAAACUCAUUAAACUUUGCACUUAAAAUAGGUGAAUUUUAUUGAAUUUUAACUAUAUAUCAAUAAAGCUAAUUACAAUUAAAAUGUCAUAUCUAGAUAAAUUAUAAAAUGCCUCUUCCACUCCUUAUGUUCCUCUCUUUUAUAUUUUCAUUGAUAUGUGAACUUCUUGUUUUUUAGAAAAAUAUGAAUUAAGGCCGGGCACGGUGACUUACACCUGUAAUCCCAGCACUUUGGGAGGCCAAGGCAGGUGGAUCGCCUGAUGUCAGGAGUUUGAGAUAAGCCUGGUCAACAUGGUGAAACCGUGUCUCUAUUAAAAAAUACAAAAAAAUUGCUGGACGUGGUGGCAGGCACCUGUAAUCCCAGCUACUCGGGUGGCUGAGGCAGCAGAAUCGCUUGAGCCCAGGAGGCAGAAGUUGCAGUGAGCAGAGAUCGUGCCAUUGCACUCCAGCCCAGGAAACAAGAGUGAAGCUCUAUCUAAAAAAAAAAUAUAUAUAUAUACAUAUAUAUAUGAAUUAAAAUAGGACUAGUAAUAUUUGGGCAGACUCAUGUCAAUGUGGAUCUGAAAAAAGUCAGCGUCAUGACAUCCCCAGGAAGUGGCCUGUUCCCACUGUGCAGUUCAGUUACACGUCUGUCUCCCCUUAAGGCUCGCUAUUUAUUUAUUUAUUUAAUUUAUUUAUUUAUUUUUUAUUGAAAAAAAUUUAUUUUUAGCCGGGUGCAGUGGCUCACGCCUGUAAUCCCAGCACUUUGGGAGGCCAAAGCCGGCAGAUCACCUGAGGUCAGGAGUUCAAGACCAGCCUGGCCAUCAUGACGAAACCCCAUCUCUACUAAAAAUACAAAACUAGCCGGGCGUGGUGGCGCAUGCCUGUAAUCCCAGCUACUCGGAAGGCUGAGGCAGGAGAAUCACUUGAACCCGGGAGGUGGAGGUUGCAGUGAGCCGAGAUUACGCCACUGCACUCCAGCCUGGACAACAAGAGUGAAACUCCGUCUCAGAAGAAAAAAAAAUGUAAUAGAGGUGAGGUCUCCUUAUGUGGCCCAGGCUGGUCUCAAACUCCUUGGCUCAAGGGCCCUCCCACUUCAGACACCUAAAGUGCUAGGAUGACAGGCGUGAGCCACUGCACUUGGCCACUUGAGGCUCUUGACACGCCUAUAACACACUGCUUUGCACCUAAUCAGAAAAUAUGUGUAUAGAGGCCAGGCACGGUGGCUCACGCCUGUAACCCCAGCACUUUGGGAGGCUGAGGUGGGUGGAUCACGAGGUCAGGAGUUUCCGACCAACCUGGCCAACAUGGUGAAACCCCGUCUCUACUAAAAAUACAAAAAAAUUAGCUGGGCAUGGUGGCGGGUGCCUGUGGUCCCAGCUACUCGGGAGGCUGAGGCAGUAGAAUGGCGUGAACCUGGGGGGCUGAGAUCACGCCAGUGCACUCCAGCCUGGGCAAGAGAGUGAGAUUCGGUCUCAAAAAAAAAAAAUUAACUGCGUGGUGGUGUGCGCCUGUAAUCCAAGCUACUCAGGAGCUUGAGGCAGGAGAAUCGCUUGAGCCCGAGAGGCAGAGGUGGCAGUGAGCCCAGAUCACGCCACUGCACUCCAGCCUGGGUGACAGAGCAAAAGAGAGAGAGAGAGAGGAGGGAGAGAGGGAGGGAGGGAGGGAGGAAGGAAGAAAGGAAAGGAAGGAAGGAAAGAGGAAGGGGAAGGGGAAGGGAAGAAAAAAAAUAUAUAUAUAUAUAAAAGAUAUGGAUCAGAGGCUCUAUAUAUAUGCACACACACAUAUAUAUCAUAUACAUAUAAUGUAUAAUGUGCGUAUAUAUGUGUGUACGUACACACACACACACACACAAUAGUCCCCCAUAUCUGCAGGGGAUAUGUUCCAAGAGCUCCAGCGGAUACCUGAAACCACAGAUCAUACCAAACUCUGUAUAUUCAGAUGCUUCUCCACUUAUGAUGGGGUCGAACUCCUAUAAACCCGUUGUAAGUCAAAAUAUCCUAAGUUCAAAAGGCAUUUAAUGCUGGCAACACAGUAGACUGUCCCUGACUCACAAUGGUUCAACUUACAAUUUUUUUUUUUUUUUUUUUUUUGAGACAGGGUCUUGCUCUGUCACCCAGGCUGGAGUGCAGUAGCACAAUCAUUGUUCACUGCAGCCCUGAUCUGGGCUCAAGUGAUCCUCCCACCUCAGUCUCUCGGAUAGCUGAGACCGCAGGCAUGCGCCACCAUACCUGGCUAAUGUUUUAGUUCUAUAGAGACAGGGUCUCACUAUGUUGCCCAAGCUGAUCUCAAACUCCUGGCCUCAAGUGAUCCUCUCACCUCCACCUCCCAAAAUGUUGGGAUUACAGGCGUAAGCCACCACGCCCAGUCCCAAUUUACUUUUGACUUUGUGAUGGUGCAAAAGCAAUGAGUAUUCAGUAGAAACCGUAAUCCCAUCAUAAAGGGUAAGGAGUUCACUGAUGAUGGAGUUAGGUCCCUAGAAACCUGUCGUAAAGUUGGAAACUUAGAAGUCAAACCACUAUAAGUAGAGGACUGUCUGUACUAUGCUUUUUCCUAUACAUACAUAUCUGUAAUAAAGUUUAAUUUAUAAAUCAGGCAUAGUAAGAAGUUCGCAACAAUAAUAAUAAAAUAGAACAGUUAUAACAACAUACUGUAAUGAAAGUUAUGUGAAUGUGGUCUUUCUCAUUGAAAAUAUUUUAUGUAAGUUUUUUGAACUGCAGUUGACCACAGAUAGCUAAAACUUUGGAAAGCAAAGCUUCAGUUAAGGGGGGAUUACUUUACAUCACACAUAAAUAAUGAAAUAUUUCACAGCAUGAAGAAUUAAACAUUGGGGGAGGGCCAGGGCUGAAAAACUAUCUGUAGGUACCGCGCUCACUACCUGAGUGACGGGAAUCACUCAUACCCUAACCUCAACAUCACACAAUAGACACGGAACAAGCCUGUAUAUGUAUCCCCGGAUCUAAAAUAAAAGUUGAAAUUAUAUUUUUAAAAUUUGCAUUAAAGGCCAGGUGCAGUAGUUCACGCCUAUAAUCCCAGCACUGUGGGAGGCCGAGGCGGGUGGAUCACUUGAGGUCAGGAGUUCAAGACAGCCUGGCCAACCUGGCGAAACCUCAUCUCUACUAAAAAUACAAAACUUAGCUGGGAAUGGUGGUGUGCGCCUGUAAUCCCAGCUACUCAGGAGGCUGAGGCAGAAGAAUCACUUGAACCUGGGAGGCAGAGGUUGCAGUGAGCCAAGAUCGCACCACUGCACUCCAGCCUGGACCACAGAUCGAGACUCCGUCUCAAAAAAAAAAAAUUGCAUUAAAAAAGAAUUAAACAUAAUGUGUAAAAUAUAUUUGUAACUUGUGUGAGAUAAUUAACACCCAUGUAAACACAACCAAUAUCAAACAUACGUCAUUACCCAUCACAUCACUGACACUCAGGUGUGCCCUCUCCAAUCCUGCCUUCUUUCUGGAUUCCUUCCUAGGAACUACUAUCCUAUAUUUCAUCUUCAACAUAUCCUUUUAAAAACAGUUUUACGACUUAGGAACUCAGAAUUGUUUUAGAAACUUGUUUAGUCGGGUGUUUUCCAUUUUUCAAGACUGUAGCUUUUCUUUUCUUUUUCUUUUUUUUUUUGAGAUGGAGUCUUGCUCUGUCUCCCAGGCUGGAGCUCAGAAACAGACCCGGUCCAGGAUAAAUAAUUUUUUUUUUUCUUGAGACAGAGUCUCACUCUGUCGCUCAGGCUGGAGUGCAGUGGCGCGAUCUCAGCUCACUGCAACCUCCGCCUCCCCGGUUCAAGCGAUUGUUCUGCCUCAGACUCCCCAGUAGCUGGGACUACAGCUGCACACCACCAUGCCCGGCUAAUUUUUGUAUUUUUAGUAAAGACAGGGUUUCACCAUGUUGGCCAGGCUGGUCUUGAACUCCUGGUCUCAAGUGAUCCUCCUGCCUCGGUUUCCCAAAGUGCUGGAAUUACAGGUGUGAGCCACCAAACCCGGCCAGACUGUAGCUUAUGGUAAAGAAGACAAGGGGAGGGGUGCCCUGGGAGGGUGGGGGUAGGAGAGAGGAAGGGUGCCCUGAGAAGGUGGGGGUUAGGAGAAGGGAGGGGUGCACUGGGAGGGUGGGUGUAGGAGAGGGAAGGGUGCCCUGAGAAGGUGGGGGUUAGGAGAAGGGAGGGGUGCACUGGGAGGGUGGGUGUAGGAGAGGGAAGGGUGCCCUGAGAAGGUGGGGGUUAGGAGAAGGGAGGGGUGCACUGGGAGGGUGGGUGUAGGAGAGGGAAGGGAUGCCCUGAGAAGGUGGGGGUUAGGAGAAGGGAGGGGUGCACUGGGAGGGUGGGGGUAGGAGAGGGAAGGGAUGCCCUGAGAAGGUGGGGGUUGGAGAGGGGAGGGGUGCUCUGGGAGGGUGGGGGUAGGAGAGGGGAGAGGUGCCCUGGGAGGGUGGCCAGAGGACAGGGGAGGAGUGCACAGGGAGAGUGGGGGUAGGAGAGGGGAGGGAUGCACGGGGAGGGUGGAGGUAGCAGAGGG
rnacentral:lncRNA from 1 species